rnacentral:rRNA from 1 species
AACGAACGCUGGCGGCAGGCUUAACACAUGCAAGUCGAACGGGUGUAGCAAUACAUCAGUGGCAGACGGGUGAGUAACACGUGGGAACCUUCCUAGGGGUACGGAACAACUCAGGGAAACUUGAGCUAAUACCGUAUACGUCCGUGAGGAGAAAGAUUUAUCGCCCUUAGACGGGCCCGCGUCGGAUUAGGUAGUUGGCGGGGUAACGGCCUACCAAGCCUACGAUCCGUAGCUGAUCUUAGAGGAUGAUCAGCCACACUGGGACUGAGACACGGCCCAGACUCCUACGGGAGGCAGCAGUGGGGAAUCUUGGACAAUGGGCGCAAGCCUGAUCCAGCCAUGCCGCGUGAGUGAAGAAGGCCUUAGGGUUGUAAAGCUCUUUUACCAGGGACGAUAAUGACGGUACCUGGAGAAUAAGCCCCGGCAAACUUCGUGCCAGCAGCCGCGGUAA